rnacentral:rRNA from 1 species
AUGCCCGCAACCGUCUCGUCGGGGACGACGGUGGGAGACGGAGACGGGGACAAGCAAGCGAAGCCGAGAGGAGAAAGGCGCGUGACGCUGACACGAGCGCACGCAGCGUCGCGUACGACUCCCUCCCCCGGCCCCGUCCCAUCCAUCUACCCCCGCCCCGCCCGUCUCCCCCCGAUCCGCAUCCCCUACCGGCGCGUUAGGUGGUGGAGGCCCACAGAGAGAGAGAGAGAGAGGGGGAUCGGAAAUCCUCCUCCGGCGUCCAUCAUUUUCUUUUCAUUUCCUUGCGGUACGCAUAUAUUGCCCCGCACACCCGCACAACGCUUCGCCCAAAUCUCAUUCCCCCCGAUGGGCCGAAAGAAGCGCAGCCCCCCACCAAACCCUACUCCGCCCCCGCAUCCGCCCGCCGGCGCCCUCCUCCGCCUCGCCGAUGCGCCGGCGGCGGCGGCGGCGGGCCCCGACCCCGCCGCCGUGCGGGCCGAGUGCGACCGGGCCCUCGCCUGCCUCCAGCGGGGCAACCAGCCCAAGGCGCUGCGCCUCAUGAAGGACGCCCUCGCCCGCCACGGCGAGGGGUCGCCGCUCCUCCUCCGCGCCCACGGCACCGUCCACUCCCGCGCCGCCGCCGUCCUCACCGACCCCGCCGCCCGCGCGCGCCACCACCAGGCCGCCCUCCUCGCCGCGCGCCGCGCCGUCGACCUCGCGCCCGACUCCCUCGAGCUCGCCCACUUCCGCGCCCUCCUCCUUUACGAGGCCGCCAGCGACAACCGCGCCUACGAGGAGGUCAUCGCCGAGUGCGAGCGCGGGCUCAGGAUCGACGAACCCUCCGACCCAGAGCCCCACUCCCUCAGGCUGCCCGCCCCCGACCCCGACCAGCUCCGGGCCGAGCUCCGCAACCUCGUCCAGAAGGCCAAUCUCGCAUCCAUAUCCACCUGGGUCAAGAACCUCGGCGGCUCCGAUGACAAGCUUGGCUUCUUCCGCCUGGCGGAUGACCCCUUGGAGCUCCAGCUCCUCCCCGCGGCCCCAGCCCCGCGCCGCCCCAACGAGAUCAAGAAGGCUACCAAGACCGUCGAGGAGCGCCGCAAGGAGAUCGAGGUGCAGGUCGCUGCUCUCAGGCUGCUGGAGCAGCAGCAGCAGCAGCACAAUGCCGCCGCCGCUCUCAACUCCUCACCACCACAGUCACAGCAGGGAGAUGAGCCCCCCUCCUCAUCAUCUCAGUCCACCGCGGCUGGCCAUCGUGCUGAUCGGAGAAAGGGAGGGUCCAAAAAGGCAGCAGCCUCAUCAGCAUCCGACCAAAGGAAUCAGGUGUGUGCGUUCUGGGCCGCUCUGCCUGUCGAUCGGAGGCUGGCCUUACUGAAAACUAGCAUUUCUGAGCUCAAGGAGUACUACAAAACUCAUAAGGACAAAGAUGUUGCCGCUGCGGCACCUGCCGUGCUUGAUGAGGUGGUAGAUUUUGCCACUGAACACGGGUGUUGGGAGUUCUGGUUAUGUGGCAUCUGUGAGGAGCGCUACCCAGACGUGGCACAUUCAUUGCGGGAGCAUGUGAGUGCACUACCACGUCAAGUGCAGGCUAUGUUGCCACAGGAGAUUGAUGCUGACUGGGCAGCAAUGCUCAUUGGUUCGAGCUGGAGGCCGGUGGAUGUUGCUGCGGCACUCAAAGCGCUUGAGGAUGAGCAAGUGGACAACAUCGGCCAAGACAGGGACAAAGAUUCAAUGUCGUCCGAUAAUUGGAGUAUCAAGGACAAGUCGGACACCUCAGAAUCCUCAGCCUCGCCACACAAUGAGGAGUGUGAUGGUUUUGGAGUGGUAAUGAGGGAAGGUGCCAGGAAGUGGCCGCUGUCUGAUGAUGAUGAAAGAGCAAAGAUUCUGGAGAGGAUCCACUCGUUGUUCCAAAUCCUUGUGAAGCACAAAAACAUUUCAAUGAACCAUCUGAGCAGGGUGAUACAUUUUGCCAUGGACGAACUUAGAGGGAUACCUUCUGGGUCAUUGUUGCUUAACCACUCGAUUGACGAAUCGCCGCUCUGCAUUUGCUUCUUGGAUGCCUCAUCACUGAAAAAGGUUCUCAAGUUCUUGCAGGACCUAAUGCAGUCCUGUGGACUUAGUAGGUCCUCAGAGAAGGAUGGCGAACUAGGUGAUGGAGAUUGUUUCCCCAAAAAUAACACUAUCCUAGAGGGUGUUACGCUGGAUUCUGUUUCAUCAUCACUGAUCCUUGAUGGCCGGGUGUUUGGUGGGAAGUCAAAGUCUGGUCCUGAGAAUGUUGAUACUGAUGAAUUUCUUUCAUGGUUGUAUGCUGGAUCUCCUCCAGUAGGAGAGCAGCUAUCAGAGUGGAACUGUAUGCUUGUUGAUAGGACAAGUCAGGGGAUGCAGAUUCUUGAUAUGAUUGACAAGGAGGCAUCUUCCUUGAAAAACUUUUGUGAAAUGAAGCAUGAACAAUUGAACAUUGAGGAGGGUGUGCUUGCUGUGAAUAAUAUUAUACAAGAGGAGCAACGGCUAAGGGACCGUGGGGGCCGGUAUUCAUAUCAAGGAUACGAGGAGCUCCUGAGGAACCGUCAGGAGGAGUUGUUGGAGACCAGAUUUCGCAGCUCUGAGUACGAUGCAAUCUCAAACGUCUUGAAGGAAGUUCGCACCUCACACUUUGGUUAUGAUGAAGGUUUUUCUGGGAUGACCUCGCGCCAGUGUGACUUUGAUGGGGCAGCAAUAGAUGAUUGGAGGUUGCAUGACUUUAUGCACCCAAGUGAUUCAGUUGUGCCGACGAUUGUUUUGAGGAUGAAGGAACACGUAACUACGGAGCUUGGCAAGAUAGACGCUAGGAUUAUGCGAAGUGUAGCUCUGAUGCAGCAACUGGAUCUCAAGCUUGAACCUGCUGCUUUCGUUGAUUAUCGAUCAAUUCUUCUCCCCCUCCUGAAAUCCUUCUUGCGAAACCAUUUGGAAGAGCUCGCGGACAAGGAUGCUAGAGAGAGAUCUGAUGCAGCAAGAGACGCCUUUCUGGCUGAACUUGCUUUAGACGCUGAGAAGAAUGCAAACAAAGGGGGUGAUAAAAAACCAUCCCAUGAGAAAUCAAAGGACAAGAAGAGAAUGAAGGAUUCUCGGAGAUCUAAGGAUCUUAAGGAUUUGAGCUGGAGUGAUCAAUACAUUGUUCGCCAGGACAGUGCAGAUGAGGAAACAUCAGAGCAAGCUCAGACUCUUGUUGAUUGUGAUGACUUCGACGGCAAACUUUCACUAAGUGAUGACUACUCAAAUGAACAAGAGGAAGAUCAUAGGCAUAGAGUACAACUUGAAGCAGAGGAAAGAAAACUGGAGGAAACUUUGGAGUAUCAAAGGCGGAUAGAGGAGGAGGCAAAGCAGAAGCAUCUUGCCGAACAGUCCAGAAGUACUUCGUCAGCUCCUGAUAUUGGGGCAAAUGGUUAUUCAACUGAUGUAAAUUCAAGCGUGCAUCAGGAUAACCAUCAAAGUGCACCCAAUAAUUUCUCACCUGCUUAUCUUGAAGGCAUAAAGUUUGGUGAUUUUCGUUUUCCUAAAGUUCCUUCACGGGAAAAGCAUUCUAGUUCUGAUUUUUGUGGUGUGGACCUGCCACAAAAGACUGAGAACAAUCGCAGGGAGAAACCGAAUGGACUGCGCUCUCCGGGAGCACAUGCAUUAACCAGCAGCAAUAUGGAUUUCACUAAGCCAGCAUUGAAAAUGAACGGAGUUGGGAAAUAUGCUCAGAAUACAAAACUUUCAACUAAUCCUCUUAUCCAAAGGUCUAAGAGCAGUACUAGCCAACCACAUAAGAAAUACAUCCAAGGUGCUCUUCAUAAUGGUGAUGAUAGUGCAUCUAGUCGACAAAAUGGUACAACAGCUCCAAGAUGGAGCAGUUCUGGCAAAGUAGCUGACUUUUCUAGUAACAGUUAUCAGGAUGGAAAACAAAAUGAGUUGCCACCUGUGCUUUCUUCGGAUGGUCCAUGGAAUGCCAACAAAGCUGAGGAAGCUGAUAAGGGGGCAAUCUCACCUGCAAUUGUAUGUAUCGAGGAUGAUUCUGACAAAAGAUUUGAAGAAGACCUUAGAAAAGCAGUGCACCAAAGCCUUGCAGGUGCUUCAAAUGGGAAAGAAGUGUAUGGGGCUGGCCUUAAAAAUGCUGCUGGAGAAUACAAUUGUUUCCUGAAUGUGAUUAUCCAGUCAUUAUGGCAUUUGAAGCGGUUUCGACACGAGUUCCUUAAAACAUCAUCACUGCAUAUGCAUAUUGAGGAUCCUUGUGCUGUCUGUGCAUUAUACAAUAUAUUCGUUGACUUGAGCAAAGCAUCUGAGGGGCAAGGAGAAGCCGUUGCGCCUACUUCUUUGAGGAUAGCUUUGAGCAAAUCCUAUCCUAACAACAGGUUCUUUCAGGAGGGUCAAAUGAAUGAUGCAUCUGAGGUAUUGGGUGUGAUCUUUGAGUGCUUGCAUAAGUCGUACACUUCUCGGGCUGACUGCCAUGCUAAAUCUCAUGAGAGCAAUUCUAUCGGCUCAUGGGACUGUGCAAGCGAUUUUUGCAUUGCACAUUGCCUUUUUGGAAUGGAUGUCUAUGAACGGAUGAACUGCCACAGUUGCGGAUUAGAGUCUAGACGACUUAAGUAUACCUCAUUCUUCCACAAUAUCAAUGCGAGUUCACUUCGAACUGCAAAGAUGAUGUGUCCAGAUCCAUUUGAUGAUCUUUUGAAGACUGUGAUAAUGAAUGAUCAGCUAGCUUGUGAUCCUGAUGUUGGCGGUUGCGGAAAACCAAAUCAUAUACACCACAUUCUUUCUAGUUCCCCUCAUGUUUUUACAGUUGUUUUGGGAUGGCAGAACAGCAAAGAAAGUGUUGGUGACAUAGCUGCAACCUUGGCUGGUAUUUCGACUGAGAUAGACAUCAGUGUUUUCUACCGUGGUCUAGAUCAAGGAAGCAAACAUUUUCUGGUGUCAGUGGUUUGUUACUACGGGCAGCAUUAUCAUUGCUUUGCUUUCGAGGAUGAGCACUGGGUCAUGUAUGAUGACCAGACUGUUAAGGUUAUUGGUAGCUGGGCUGAUGUGGUCAUUAUGUGUGAGAAAGGUCAUUUACAACCUCAAGUGCUCUUCUUUGAAGCUGCAAAUUAA